rnacentral:misc_RNA from 1 species
AAAGCAAUCACAAGGGAGAAGAAAGAAAGUGAUGCAGCCUCUAUGUGGGUAGGGUUGCAUUCGGUGAAGACCGAAAGCAUAUGAAUGAGGGAAGAGAAAGUGAAGUGUCGCAGCGAUUUCCAUGCUAGUAAAAAUCCUGCACUGUCGCUCACUGUCACGCACUUCCACUUUUCUUUUGAAAAUUCCGUGUUUUCUCAAGAAAGUGGUGCAGAAGUUAAAAGUUGGGGGCUUUCAGCUACUUAAACCUUUCUGGAGAAAGUACAGAGUUUUCCCCACGAAAGUGAUCAAGAAGUUAAAAGUGGGAGCUUUUUCUUUGUUCUUGUGGUUGUUGCUUUUUUAUGAUUUGAGAAAUGGCAGAGCAAGUGUUAGUGAGACCAGGGAGGUCUUUGGCUGAGACUCCUACUUACUCUGUAGCUACAGUGAUUACUGUCUUGGUUUUCGUGUGCUUCAUCGUUGAACGCUCUAUCUACAGAUUUGGAAAGUGGUUGAAGAAGACUAGGAGGAAUGCUUUGUUUGCUUCUUUAGAGAAAAUCAAGGAAGAGUUGAUGCUGCUUGGGCUUAUAUCUUUGUUGUUGGCGCAAUGGGCAAGAUGGAUAUCUGAGAUUUGUGUAACUUCAUCUCUUUUCAGCAGUAAAUUCUAUCUCUGUUCAAAGGAGGAUUAUGACCUUGCUAAACAUGUCUUAUUUGAAAGUUCAUCAUCUUUUCUGAAUAAGACUGGUAUUCCUCCAAAAGGGAUAACAAUUUCAACGUCUCAUCAAUGUGGAGAGGGUCGCGAACCCUUUGUUUCAUUGGAGGGUCUUGUGCAGCUCCACCGGUUUUUGUUUGUUCUUGGUAUCACUCAUGUUCUUUAUAGCUUUUUGGCUGUUGGUCUGGCCAUGGGCAAGAUUUACAGUUGGAGGAAAUGGGAAAACCAGGCCAGCUUAGUGGCUGAUGGGAGUUUGCAAGCAAAGAAAAACAAGGUAAUGAGGCGACAGUCAACCUUUGUUUUCCACCACGCAUCUCAUCCGUGGAGCAGAAGUCGCAUUCUCAUUUGGAUGUUCAUUUCUGCAGCUUUGCUUCCUGCGACAAUUUAAGAGUUCUAUAAAGAAAUCAGACUACUUGGCACUGCGAUUGGGUUUCAUCACUGUGGGUAUCUAACUUAUAUUGAUAUUUGAUGUGAUCUUCUCUUUUGGGCCAUUUUUUCACAGACGUCAAAAUGAACAAUGUCCUUCUUAACUAUUUGUUCUAGUUCAAAAAUUCACUUCCAACUUUUCCAAGAUAACACAUAUACUUCUUGAAAGAAUCUUUUGCUUAUGUACUGCAUUGUAACUAGCUGAAAGAAGUUUACUUCUUAAUUAUGAUCUUAGAUGAACAGAAAAAGAACCGCAUUUAUAUUUUACUUCUUAAUUAUGAUCUUAGAUGAACAGAAAAAGAACCGCAUUUAUAUUAAGUACAAAAACACUGAGCUACAACCUUAUUGCUGCCUCUCUUAGUUCAUAAAUAGGUUACUGCAAAUAUUUGUUUUUACAUUUAAAUGCAACAUCAGGGUCCUAAAUGCUAAUUUCAGAAGUUGUAGUUUGCAUAUUGUGUAGAUGAAAUUCUUUUAAUUUUGAUAUCUCAUGCUCAGUGCAUUGAUAGUCUAAAUUAUGCUUUUGGACUGUUGGAAAUGCCACAGUGCUUCAACAUAAUCCAGUUUAUUCAAUAACUCUAUGUGAUCUUUAUUCUGUUUUUUUUUCCACUGAUUUUCAUCUGUUUUUCUAUCUUAUUUCAACUAUCUCUUUCUGAUAUUAUGUUGUAUUUUUUCAUGCUUUCCACUUUUCAGAAGCACGAAUUGCCACUUUCUUACAAUUUCCAUAAAUACAUGGUCCGGAGUAUGGAAGAUGAAUUUCAUGGCAUUUUGGGGAUUAGGUAUGCAUUCAACCUACAUGAAGUAUUUUACUUUUGUUGCCUCGAUGUCUGAAGAUCUUAGAUGCUUAGUUCUUUAUGAUCAGCAUAUGUUUCUUGAUAUUCAUCCAAAAAGUUUCUUGAUCUUAGAUGCCUGUUGCAUUUUUUUAAUAGUUAAAUACUUUUCUCUCUGCUAUCUAAUUGUCCAGAGACUCGAAAAUUGUAAGAUUUCCCAGUAAAAACUACAUAAUCUUAAUUUAUUUAGGGUAUAAAAGUAAUAGUUUCAGUUUUAAGUGGGCAAAUGCACAAUAACUAAAUCAUUUUUCAAUUUUGUAGCUGGCCACUUUGGGUUUAUGCAAUAGUGUGCAUCUUCAUAAAUAUUCAUGGUAAGCUGCCAUUUUCAGAAUGGAAAAGAAAGAGAUUGUCCUUUACAUUCUUAAGCUCUACUUCUUGGGAUGGUGAAUUUGUCUAAAUUUUGCAGGUUUAAAUAUCUACUUUUGGCUCUCUUUCAUCCCUGCCAUUCUUGUCAUGUUAGUUGGGACAAAACUUCAGCAUGUUGUUUCCACAUUAGCACUUGAAAUUGUGGAACAAACAGGUCCAUCUGUUGGGACUCAACUGAAGCCCCGGGAUGAUCUGUUUUGGUUUGGAAAACCUGAGAUACUGUUAAGGCUGAUACAGUUUAUCAUUUUUCAGAAUGCCUUCGAGAUGGCGACAUUCAUUUGGUCUUUGUGGGGAUUUAAGGAAAGAUUGUGCUUCAUGAAAAACCAUACGAUGGUAGUUAUUCGGCUAGCUUCUGGGAUUCUUGUUCAGUUCUGGUGUAGCUAUAGCACAGUGCCUCUGAACGUAAUUGUUACUCAGAUGGGAUCGCGGUGGAAGAAAGCCUUAGUUGCUGAGAGUGUGAGAGAAUCUCUUCACAGCUGGUGUAAGAGAGUGAAAGAAAGGUCUAAACGGGAAACUGCGCAUUCAGUGGCUACAAGAUCAGUAUGUUCACUUGAUACAACAAUUGAUGAAGGAGAUGAAAUUACAGUUGCAUCAGGCACUAUAUCUCGGUCAUCUUCAUUUGGCUCACUGAAUGAGGUAACCAUAGCACCUCCUGAACAAGCAGGAGACGCUGAAACUUCAAACCCUCACCACAUUGAUCUUUCUGCGCGGAUUGAAGAGUACUUAAAUGACAGUACAUCACAUCCUCCUAUCAUUGAAGAAGAUGAUAAUGCAGGCAUCAGAGAGGAACCAAAAGUUGAGACUCUAUUCGAAUUGUUUCAAAGGACUUGAGUAGAUUUUCAUAUGAACUCUAGUUUUUUAUUUUUUCUUGGCUUAAUGGUGCCAUCUUCUUUAUGAAAACACGAAAGCUACGUCAAUUUUAGCUUAAAGCUAUACCUUAUUACCUCAGUUGAGAUGCUUCUUCCUACACUUAUGGAAGCUGUUCUUUAGUUUAAUACAGUAAUCUUGAUAAACCAAAAUCUUAAUGGUUAUCUAUACACAUAUAUUUUCCUUUGUUUUGUAUAGUCAAGAUUGAAGCAAGAAUAAUUAAAAC